rnacentral:tRNA from 1 species
GAUUUUAAGUUAAAAAAACUAUUUACCUUUUAAGUAAAAAUUAUUAUAUUAUAAAUCU